GUAAGUUACAAGCUUUAAGCUUUUAGAAUGCAAUUUCAUCCAGGUAUCUCCAGCAAAGUGGUUCCCAUCAGACAAGGGCAAUUCAGCAGAGCAGGGUGAAGCUGUGAGCCAUGGUCAGCUAAUUCACAGUGCAGGAAUAUGCAUGUGCAAGUCCAGUCAAUAUCAAUGUCCAUCUUGAACUAGUACAAAGGAUAGGAUUGCAACAAUUAUGUACAAUCAGAGGUCUUAAGAAAUAACAAAUAUAUUUACUAAUUUAUAGGAUGCAAGCAAACAAGAGGCCCAAGAGAAGAAGACAGUAAUCCAGAAGAAUCCACACAACUCUCCAGAUAGUUUCCACAUCACAUACAUGUCAGUUGCUGAAAAUGCAAGACGCAGUCCCUAGAUGAGGAUUACAAAGAUCUAACGGGAAGAACUGCUGUACAGGAAACAUGGCACCAGUAUCUGCUUGGCUUCCGGCGAGGACACAGGAAGCGUAAAAUCAGAGCUGAAGGUAAAGGGAGAGCCCAACCUCACAAGGCAUGAGUGAGCGCAAGAGAGAGAGUGAGCAGGAGGUGCUACACGGUUUCAAAUGACCAGAACUCACUAUCGCAAGGACAGCGCCAAGCCACGAAGGACCCACUCCCAUGACCCAAACACCUCCCACCAGGCGCCACCUCCAACAUCAGGGAUUACACUUCAACCUGUGAUUCAGGGGACAAAUAUCCAAACAAUAGCAAUUGGCAACUUCAUAUUUAGAAAUUACUGGCAUUAUUAUCAUCUAAAUCUGUUUCACUUCUUGGAAAACCAGAUGUAUUUUACAUAGGGAGAAAAAGUAAUAUGGGAAGUAGAAAUCUCAAUAAAGAAUGGACUUCAGUUAACGUGAAUGUAUCAAUAUUUGUUAACUUUAACAUAUUUGCUAUACUAAUGGGAAUGGUACUGAUAGGAUAAACUGGAUAUGAGGUAUGUGGGAAAUCUCUGUGCUGUCUUCUCACUUUUCUGUAAAUCUAAAACAGUCUAUUAAAAAAUACCAUUGGUGGUGGCUGUACCCCCAACUCAAUCAAUAAAGUCAUUUAAAAAUAUGUAAUAUACAUUGGGAUUUAGCCAUUGUGGUCUUUCUCCAUUAUAAGCCCUCUUACACCAUGCAGAGACAUACUGUACUUGAUCUAUUCUGAAGUGGUUGUUAUCCAGGAUAUGGAGAGAACUUAAAUAAAUUUGUAGGUGGGGAUAUGCCUUCCAAGAAUUUUUGGCCUGGAGGCAAGAGGGGAAAAAUUAAAAGUCUCAUCCCCCUAAAAAAAAAUUGCUAUGCACUUCUUAGUGUCAUUUUGUGAAUUAAAUACAGCUUGUCUGAUUUAAAAAAAAAAUUAACAAUUGAUGUUGAUAUCUAGACUCAUGAAAAAUAUAACAUCGAAAAAUUACUGUAACUAUAAACCUGACAAUUUUGUUUACCUUAAAGAAUGCUAUGGCUGAUAGAAACAAAAAGUGUAACUAGCUAAGUAGAUAUACAAAAUAUUUUAUUUUACCUAUACUUCUGAAUGUCAACUAACAGGUAUUGCUAUAGAUGUUUUUACAAAUGUUUGCCUAAAGAUAUUUUUGUACAUUUUAUAGUUCUCUUUUAUUUGUAACCAAGUAUCUUGUGCUUGUCAGCUCUAUGAUUUGAUUUUUAAAAAUAUAUUAAAUUAUGAAUCCAUAAAUAUGUAGAACAGAAAAAUAUAUUAACUCACUUGAUAUGUGUAGGAAGACAACAUUACUCUUAGUAAGACAAGUGCUUUUUGAUAAAAAAUAGGCAAGUAUUGUGUAAGUGGGAAAGCUUUAAACAAAUAAAUUUAUAGGAAAUUAGAGUUUCCCAAAAGUUGGCAUCAAAGAAUAGAGUUUCAGGGCACUGAACCAGAGGGAAUUUAGAGAACUGAGUUUUGGGUAGAGAGAGAAUCCAGCAAGGUUAUGGCAGGAAAUAAGCACCAUAUCCCCCAUGAGAAACCCCCUGUGUCAAGGAGCACCAGACAGAAUUCUAAGAUAGGACUUCCAAUUUUGAGUCAUGCCCUUUGCUACUCUGUGCAGAACUACG
rnacentral:lncRNA from 10 species